rnacentral:rRNA from 1 species
UACGAAGGUCCCAAGCGUUAUCCGGAUUUAUUGGGUUUAAAGGGUGCGUAGGCGGCUUAUUAAGUCAGUGGUGAAAGCUCCAUGCUUAACAUGGAAAUUGCCAUUGAUACUGAUGAGCUUGAGUAUAUUUGAAGUGGGCGGAAUGUAUCGUGUAGCGGUGAAAUGCUUAGAUAUGACACAGAACACCGAUUGCGUAGGCAGCUCACUAAACUAUAACUGACGCUGAGGCACGAAAGCAUGGGGAUCAAACAGG